GAUGAACGCUGGCGGCGUGCCUAAUACAUGCAAGUCGAGCGAACAGACGAGGAGCUUGCUCCUCUGACGUUAGCGGCGGACGGGUGAGUAACACGUGGAUAACCUACCUAUAAGACUGGGAUAACUUCGGGAAACCGGAGCUAAUACCGGAUAAUAUUUUGAACCGCAUGGUUCAAUAGUGAAAGACGGUUUUGCUGUCACUUAUAGAUGGAUCCGCGCCGCAUUAGCUAGUUGGUAAGGUAACGGCUUACCAAGGCAACGAUGCGUAGCCGACCUGAGAGGGUGAUCGGCCACACUGGAACUGAGACACGGUCCAGACUCCUACGGGAGGCAGCAGUAGGGAAUCUUCCGCAAUGGGCGAAAGCCUGACGGAGCAACGCCGCGUGAGUGAUGAAGGUCUUCGGAUCGUAAAACUCUGUUAUUAGGGAAGAACAAAUGUGUAAGUAACUAUGCACGUCUUGACGGUACCUAAUCAGAAAGCCACGGCUAACUACGUG
rnacentral:rRNA from 1 species